UCACCGGAGGACCUCAAGGAGGAGCAGAUCUUUCACGACCAUGAGACUUGAAAAAUCUGUAAAUGUAUUACUAACGACUUUGCUUUGAAUCAAAAUUUCUUUCGACUUUGCAUGUCUUUCCCUUUUUGGCAUGGACUUGUUGCGACUGGGGGUAACCCCUUCAAACAAUCAAAACAAGAUCAUGUUAGGAACGGGAGGAGAACCUCGUCCUAACAUGAGCAAAAUGAAAGUUCAAUUAUUUUAAGAUC
rnacentral:lncRNA from 1 species